GAUGAACGCUAGCUACAGGCUUAACACAUGCAAGUCGAGGGACCGGCGCACGGGUGAAUAACACGUAUACAACUUGCGUUGUACUCGGGAAUAGCCUUUCGAAUGAAACAAUAAUACACGAUAUAACGAAUGGGGCGGCGUUAGCUUAGGUUGUUGGUGAGGUAACCGCCCACCAAGCCGUCGAUGGAUAGGGGUUCUGAUAUGAAGUUCCCCCACAUUGGAACUGAGACACGGUCCAAACUCGUACGAGAGGCAGCAGUGAUGAAUAUUGUUCAAUGGGCGCUAGCCUGAACCAGCCAAGUAGCGUGAAGGAUGAAGGCUUAUGUGUCGUAAACUUCUUUUAUAUAAGAAUAUGUAUUAUAUGAAUAAGGAUCGGCUAACUCCGUGCCAGCAGCCGCGGUAAUUC
rnacentral:rRNA from 1 species